GGGCUGAGCUCCUUGGAAUUCUCAUACAAAGCUUGUCUCCUUCCUGCCUGGAGUGACAGACCCGUGGCUCCUGAGCUGACCCUGACCUGGCCCACAGGUCAACUGGGUGGCACCCAAGCAGGAGGAAAACUAUCCACACUGCCUGACCCCAGGAGGCCCACUAUCAGAGCUUGACUACAUUUCCCAGCCUCCCCUGCAGCCAGAUGUGGUCACGUGACUGAGUUGUGCCCAGUGGAAUGUGGGCAAAAUUGAUGAACACCACUUCCAGACCUGGCUGGGAAAACUUUCCACACAAUUCUGCACGCUCCCUGUCUCUUCCCCCAUCUGCUGAUUGAAUACAGAGGAUCCUAGUAGAAGAUUCCAAAGCCUGUAGCAGUUAGCAGGGCCGCAAGAUGGACAGUGCUGGGUACCUGAACCAUCACAUCAAUUGAAGACCAUCAACUGAAUAUCAGUAUUAAAUAGUCAUGUGAGGGCAGCCCGGGUGGUUCAGUGGUUUAGCGCCACCUUCAGCCCAGGGUGUGAUCCUGGAGACCCAGGAUUGAGUCCCAUGUCUGGC